GAUGAACGCUAGCGACAGGCCUAACACAUGCAAGUCGAGGGGCAGCACGAAGUAAGCUUGCUUACUUUGGUGGCGACCGGCGCACGGGUGCGUAACAGGUGUGCAAUCUGUCCAUAGUCGGGGAAUAGCCCAGCGAAAGUUGGAUUAAUGCUCCAUGUGAGUUUUAGAGGCAUCUCUUUAAUUUGAAACGUAAGGAUUAUGGGUGAGCAGGCUUCUGAUUAGGUAGUUGGUGAGGUAACGGCUCACCAAGCCGACGAUCAGUAGGGGUUCUGAGAGGAAGGUCCCCCACGUUGGAACUGAGACACUGUCCAAACUCCUACGGGAGGCAACAGUGAGGAAUAUUGGUCAAUGGGCGAAAGACUGAACCAGCCAAGUCGCGUGAAGGAUGAAGGUUCUAUGGAUUGUAAACUUCUUUUGUCUGAGGGUAAAAAAGCGGACGUGUCCGUUCUUGCAAGUAUCAGACGAAUAAGCAUCGGCUAACUCCGUGCCAGCAGCCGCCGCAGUAA
rnacentral:rRNA from 1 species